rnacentral:lncRNA from 9 species
AUGCCUUCUGGUCACAUGAUGGGUCCCUUCCCUUGUCCGAACCCUUUGGUUCUAUCCCAGGAUUAUAUACACCACUUGGCAAGGGAACAUGCUUUGGUUAACCAGAUCGUUCAUAUUCCUCAAGCUCGCCCCACCUUGGGGAGCUUUGUUCAGUUUGCUCAGCCAUGGGGUAUGCAUGGAUCUAGGUCCAAAGGAUGGGACCAGCCUAUCCUUUUCUCAGCCCAGUAUGGCUAAAAAGUGGUCAGAUAAUUUAAAAAAAAAUUCACAUGUAUAAUAUACUGAGAAGUUGGGAGUUCCCAUUGUGGCUCAGUGGUUAAUGAAUCCAACUAGGAACCAUGAGGUUGUGGGUUCGAUCCCUGGCCUUGCUCAGUGGGUUAAGGAUCCAGCGUUGCCUUGAGCUUUGGUGUAGGUUGCGGAUGCGGCUUGGAUCCCACGUUGCUGUGGCUGUGCUGUAGGCCAGCAGCUAUAGCUCCAAUUCGACCCCUAGCCUGGGAACUUCCAUAUGCCAUGGGAGUGGCCCAAGAAAUGGCAAAAAAAGACAAAUAAAUAAAUAAAUAAAUAAAUAAUAUACUGAGAGGUUAACAUAUUCAAAUGAAAUCUUACUUUAUAAAUAUUAAUUUAUAAAUAUAAAUCUUACUUUAUAAAUAUAAAGCCUAAAUAGGAAUACUCAUAUAAAUAUUUCUCAGAGCAGAGGAAAAAUCAUUUGAAAAAUCAAAGAAUUACAUUUAAUAGAUCAUUAUUUUCUGAAAGCCAGCUCUUGGUUGGCUUAAGUAAAAUCAAGCACCUUGGUCAUAAGAGUUACUCUGUGGAAUAGCAGCAAAAGAUCCAUGUGGGGAUCUGACAUCAUAUCAUCUACUCUGACUUAUGAAGGCAGAGGGCCUGCAACAGAGGAAGGACUCUACAUUCAUCUUUGCUCUGAGCAGAUGACAAUAGCUCACAUUAGUCUUACUCUGCCAUAGCGUCUCUGGCCACAGCCCCUCAAAUGAAAUGCUUUAUUCCUGACUAGGGUAGGGCAUGUAAAAUAAUCACAUUUUUGUCUAAGUCACAGAUGUAACCUCUGAGUAAAUGAGCUGGAGGACGAGAGCAACCUGAAAGUUUUUAGGAGGAAGAGUCUUACAGCAUAUAGAACCUUUUGGGUAAAAGCUGUUACUGCAUACCUCUUAAGAAAUGGUAUACUUAUUUUUCAUGAUGAUGCUUUUCAUCAUUAUUAUUAUCUUUUUUCUUUCUUUUUUUUUUUUUUUUUUGUCUUUUGUCUUUUUAGGGCUGCACCUGCAGCAUAUAGCAGUUCCCAGGCUAGGGGUCCAAUCAGAGCUGUAGCUGCCAGCUUACAGCACAGCCACAGCAAUGAGGAAUCUGAGCCGCGUCUGCGACCUACACCACAGCUCACAGCAAUGCCGGAUCCUUAACCCACUUAGAGAGGCCAGGGAUUGAACCCACGUCCUCAUGGUUGCUAGUUGGGUUCAUUAACCACUGAGGGAACUCUAUUAUUAUCAUCUUUCAAAAAGGAAUUGCAAAGAUGGCACAUCUCUAGGUAAAGACUGUUCAUCGUAGCAGAGUGGCAAGUAUACCAAAUCCAUACUCUGCAAAGUCAAUAGCAUGGUGGAUAUGGAUGUUUAAAAAGGGGUCAGAAGGGGAUUCAAGACCAUGUUUUCAAAGCUGUUCCCAUAAACCUAGAAAAUGACAUUUGUCCAGAUCAUAUAAUCAAGGGGGACAAGAGACAACACAGGGAUGUGAAACCAUGGUCCUCAAUCUUGCAUUCUAGUGGUGGAAACAAGUGGAAAGUAUACAAAUAAGUGCAAGAGGUAAAUACAAAUGGUGACGAGAACUGUGCAUAUGAGAAUGAGCAUCAUAUUUCCAUUUUACUGAGUGCUUUCUAUGUGCCAGCUCUAUGCUCAUUAGCUAUUUAAUUGUCCUCACCUAUAAAAAUGAAGCCUAAAGAGCUUCAUUUUAUUCAAGUUCCCAUAACCAGUAACACUCAAACAGGGGUCUGACCACAGGGAUUUUCAUAUCCUUCAUUCAGAACCAGCUCUCCUAACAAUGGUAAAGUGAUAGCUGCCAUGGACACUUCCACUUCUGCUGAGAGUGUGAGAGCUGCCCUGAUCCCAUGCCCUUGGCCCAGACCCAUGCCCACACCCUCCCACCUGCAAGACCAUCAGCCAAUAAAGGGAGCACUCGCCAACAUUUAGUUUAGGCUACACUAAAUACAGCUGUGUGUCUAGGCAUCCAGCCCCAUAUGGACGGAGGAGAUGGUUGCAUUCUUUUAGUUGUGCUCAGCUAGCCUCUGGAGUAGUUGUGUGAGCUUGAGCAUCUUAUGCUGUUGUUUGGGCUCUCUGCCUGAUGGCUGGGAUUUUCAUUUCUGAGUCUUUAAUUACAUAAUACUCAGUAUAUCUCUAAAUAAUUUUUCUUUAAUAUAACUUGAUUAUUUAUUAAUUCAGAAAAUAUUGACUUUCUUAGCCAGUGACUCUAGUGAUGAGCAGACUUGUCCAUGAACUUGAGGACAGACUCUUUUGUUUUGAUCUUUUAGAUAUCACUAUAAAAGUGUUUAGUGCACCAGGGUUCCAUGGGGAAGGAAUGCUCCUAAAAAAAAAAUCGGUGGAGAGCAAAGGUAAUCUCCUAAAAAUUUUAAAUGGGGGCUCAGAUUUUGAGACCAAAUGAUUUAUCUAUUAAGAAAGAAAACACACCUGUGCGUGCGCACGCACGCGCGCGCGCACACACACACACACACACACACACACAUAUACAUGCCUGAUUUUUACCCUGGGUUAAACAAGUUCAUUGGCAUAAUGCAUUCCUUGUAUGAGAAAGCCACUAUAUAACAUUGUUUUAAUUCAGUUAUAUCCUGGGAGGGGUUAGAAGUGUUCAGAAAACAGAGCUGCCUUAAGAAGUGGAUUUAUGAAGUCCUGUUGGGUGAUAUAUGUACACUAAAGCAUUUUCAUGUUCACAGCAACUUGAGUUUCACAAGUUGAAAGAGAGAAAAAAUUGGAAUGUCAUGCCAACCAAACCUUAUUCUGUUUGGGCAAGGAGUACCGCAGGGUUUACCCCUGCCAGGAGCCCUGUACCUCUCAUCUGCAUAUGAUUUUGCUCACGAGGAAGACAGGGAAUCAGGGGAUGGAAGAAGGAAUAACCUCUCCCAGAGCACAUGAUGCAGCAGAAGGAAAGACGCCACAUAAAGGGAAGAACCCCCCACCCACCCACACAAACACAUGUCUGGUGCUAAAUGCUCCUAAGUCUCUUCCUUUGGACUCCACAGAUUCUCCUAUUAGGAUCUCAAGAGCUCACAUACACUAGAAGAAAAGGGAAGGUAUCACCUGAGAACUAGUAUUUGAGCACUUUUGGAGACUUAAGGUAAUGCAAGUAGCAGCAAAUUAAAACUGUAGGUGAAAGCAAGUUAAUGAAGUAGAUUCUACAAUGAUAUAGCCAUGCACAGUCCAGAGAGCAGAUCUGCACAGCAGAUCUGCACCAGGCCAUUUGGGGAAGUGAAGAAAAUUGGGAUUGGAGAGACCUGGAGCCAGAAUGCACCUGGAUGUUGGUCAGCACCCCUCUUAGGGUCAUUCUUGGUCACAUGACAGUGGAGACCUGCAUGAAUCAAAGUGAUUCUGGUUUGGGCAUAAUCUGAGUUGGCAGCUGGGAACAAGAUCUGGAGAAGAUAGUGAAGACAGUGUGAAACCCAGAGCAAUAAAAGUGCAUAAAGUUGUUAGCAGCUCUGCUAGAGAUCUAAAUACCAAGAUCUUCUGUGAAUUUAAGCUGUAGGAAAACAGACGAGUGAGGGAAAGAGAUAGGAGGAAGACAGGAGCUAGGAGAAGAGUAAGAGGUGAGAGUUGGAGGGGGGGCAGAGUAUAGAGAAGGCUAUGGUCCCCUUCUGCCCUCCCAGCCCUGCCCACUGGGAUCAGUGAGCAAACCAGAUAAGAUAUCAAGUCU